rnacentral:lncRNA from 1 species
AAAGAGAGCACUUUCUUCCUGUAAAUAUCUUUUGAUACCCAUCUGUGUAAAAUCCUGAUGAAUGUGUCUUGAAACGUACAGCAUAUCAAGGUUCUUGUUUUGUUAGUUGAUCUAAAUGCCCACAUAAUUCAUUAGAAAUCCAGUUUAAUUCAUAUUGGGAUUCUUUUUUCGAGGGGAGAAAAAGUAUGCAAACAGAACUAUUAGGAAGAGUCCCAUAUGAAUGCCAUUUUAUGUCAACAUUGCUUUAAUAUUUUGAAUUGACUGGCUGUUUUCUCCCACCUACAAGAGAAUGUGUCUGCCAUUCCCCUGUGCUCACUGUGGGUUGUAGGGAGUAGCCUGUUCCUCCCAACAUCAUCGGUUCCUUCACCUGAAC